ACAAGGUAAAAUAAAACCACAACAGAAAAAAGAAAAGAAAAAAGGGGGGGGGGAACAAGCGAAAAGGAGAGAAUAGUAACAAAGUAUAAAGAAUAAAAUUAGAAAAAUAAAAGAUUUAUUAGGAAAAAUAAAAAUAUGAAAGAAUCAACUGCAGUGAAUCAACAAGGUAAAACAGAACCCCAAUCUAAAAGAGGAGAAAAUAAAAUAAAAUAAAAUAAAAUAAAAAAGCCUUGACUAUGGGGGCUUUAGGAGGGGUGGGGUUUAGGAGGGGUGGGGUUUAGGGUGGGGCAGGCCCUAGGUGGGUGGGUGGGGGUGACGUUUGAGCAUGGGGAGGGGCCUAGGCUCGGGACACACGCAGCCAGAAAAGGCUUUGGGGGCAGGGCCUAGGCAGGGUGCCGUUCAAGCGUGGGGUGGGACCUCUGCUUAGGAUCUGCACAGAAGGGGAGAGGCAGCACGUGGAAAGGGGGGCUUUCGGAGUGUGGAGUUCCAGAGUUUGGAGGACCCGCCCAGCUGGAGGGGGCCUCGGUGGGCAGAGGAUCAGGCCCAGGAUCUCAGCAGGCUCUGGGGGGCCCAAGUAGGCAGGAGAAGCCUGGCCAUGCUCCCUUUUGAUCCUCCGCCCUCCCAAUGGUCCCCCAAUUUCCCCCUUCGGGUGUGGUAUCCCUUCCCCUCCCCUAGCCGCCCCUCAGGGGCACCAGUCCCGCCUGGCCUCCACUUCUCCUCCCCCUUCACUCCCCUUUCUCUCCCCGCAUGCCUCACAUCCUACCCGGUCACUGGAGGUUCCUCCCGUUCCCUUAGUCGUCCAUGGUCCCCCACCAGUGCCUUGUAGGUGCCCUAGUUGUGUGGAGACACGAAUUAUGCGUCUUCCUAGUCCACCGUCUUGACUCCGCCCAUUUCUCCUUAAAGCAGAGAACAAGAGGAACCCAAGAAAGGGCUUAUUAUUUUCUAAUGGUUACUUUGGAAAAAAAAAAAAGGUUUUUGGAUUUAAACAAAUUGUUCAUGCAAGGGAGUAGUAUCUCAUUAGGGGACAAGUUACCAUAUUGUAGAGAGCAGUGAACUUUUUUUCUGCCAGCUUAGGCAUCAGUUCCUUCAGGAUAUUCUCUGCCCAAGCUCAGUAUGGGUUAGGUGUCUCUCCUGUAUAUUAUCAAGCACCCUUUACCUCCCCAUAGUACAGCACUUACCACACCAGAUUAUACUUCCUUGUCUACCCCUGCAGUAGAGACUGUGUGUGUUCACCAAACUCUUUCCUUUCUUUUCUGCAUACUCAGCUAUGUUUCCCAACCUCCUCUGCAGUUAGGUGUGGCCACAUGUCUCAGCCUGGUCAGUGCAAUGUGGGUAAAGUGAUGUCUGCCACUUCCAGGCUUGGCCGUAUCAUGAAAACUACCCGUGCAGUCUCCUAACUCUCUUUUCAAUCUGCUGGCUGAAUGGAGAGGGCUCUGCGGACAUAAAAGAAUGUGGAAGGAGCCUGGGACCCCGAAGGUCUGCAUGGAGCAGAACACCCAUCCUCUCAUCAGCCCAAAUCAGACUGAGACGAAACGAGUGAAGAAUCUAUUUUUUAUUGAGCUAAGCCAUCGAGAAUUAGGUGUCUGUGUGUUUUCAUUAGAGAAGUUAUCCCACCCUGACUAAUACAGUUCCCCAUUAGAACCCAAACCUCUUCAAAAUAGAAACCUCCUCUAUCUUUUCCACCACGGUAUUCCUUGCUUUGGCAUAAUGCCUGUCACAUCACAGGCACUUAAUAUAUUUUUUAAUGAAAUAAAUGUAAUUCUCUCAA